rnacentral:lncRNA from 1 species
ACCUAUUGACAUAUGGUUAUCGUAUAAUUCAUCCCUUUGAUUCAAAUGCUCAAAGUGACCUAGAGUUUAACUGCCAACCCUGAUAUGGUCAUCGAUAUUAUAUUUUAAUUUUUAAAAUUCAUCACAUAGAUUAUCUUGAUCAAGAUUUUAUUGAAUUGAAAUACACUGAUACAUUAACUUCUACUUAUUUAGAGGGGUCAAUUCCAUCUGGACUCACACACCGACUUCACAAGUACUUGACUAUGCUCAAAAAUCUUUCAUCACUGAAUUAAAAAUUCAGGUAGUCUGACACCAAAGUAUUGUGAGUUGCUUGUAAGUCACUGUGGUGAUCUCA